rnacentral:rRNA from 1 species
AGUGAACGCUGGCGGUAGGCCUAACACAUGCAAGUCGAACGGCAGCACAGUAAGAGCUUGCUCUUACGGGUGGCGAGUGGCGGACGGGUGAGGAAUACAUCGGAAUCUACUUUUUCGUGGGGGAUAACGUAGGGAAACUUACGCUAAUACCGCAUACGACCUACGGGUGAAAGCAGGGGAUCUUCGGACCUUGCGCGAUUGAAUGAGCCGAUGUCGGAUUAGCUAGUUGGCGGGGUAAAGGCCCACCAAGGCGACGAUCCGUAGCCGGUCUGAGAGGAUGAUAAGCCACACGGGAACUGAGACACGGUCCAGACUCCUACGGGAGGCAGCAGUGGGGAAUAUUGGACAAUGGGCGCAAGCCUGAUCCAGCCAUACCGCGUGGGUGAAGAAGGCCUUCGGGUUGUAAAGCCCUUUUGUUGGGAAAGAAAAGCAGCAGGUUAAUACCCCGCUGUUCUGACGGUACCCAAAGAAUAAGCACCGGCUAACUUCGUG